rnacentral:rRNA from 1 species
UACGUAGGGGGCGAGCGUUGUCCGGAGUUACUGGGCGUAAAGCGCUUGUAGGCGGUCCACCAAGUUUGGGGUGACAGUUGCCGACUUAAUCGGCAAAGUGCCUCAAAGACUGGCGGACUUGAGGGCCACAGAGGGACAUGGAACUCCAGGUGUAGUGGUGAAAUGCGUAGAUAUCAGGAGGAACACCUGUGGCGAAAGCGGCUCACUGGACCAUAACUGACGCUGAUGCACGAAAGCUAGGGGAGCAAACAGG